rnacentral:ncRNA from 1 species
CGUCGCCCGCUUCAUGGAGGUCAAGGCCGUCAUGACUGAGCGAUUAUCUAAUCUGGUCGUGCCGCUGCCCCACAAGGACACCGACAUGCGCAUUCAAGAUACCGGCGGCUCUAUGCCUGCAAGGUCUUGCGCAGUUUCCCUGCUGAAUCGUCGGCAGGGUGACGUAGAAAGCACGAUAUCUCC